CUGCCCAACGCACUCAACUUCUUCCUUUUCCAAAUUUUCCAUCAAAUUCAUAUACUCAAUUUCAAUACUGGAUAUAGAAAUUCGUCGAUCUCCAUGGUGAAAAAUAGCAGCAGCGCUACGCCGGAUAAGGGUCGGACUUUACCCGUUGACCCGAAUCUUCCCCGGUACAUCUGUCAGAACUGCCACAAUCCCCUAUGCAUCGCCGGCGUCGAUAAUUAUGCCGACAAGUUCUUCCCGGAUUCUUCUACUCGCUCCGGGAUGCAGGCCUCUUCAAUACAUGGAGCUGGUAGUGUUAUAGGGUCGAGCCGAAUGGAACAUUCAUAUGUUAUGUUGCCAAAGCAAAGAAAUCAGGGAGCAGGGAUUCCGCCUCGAGGACGAGGAGGGUCUGCACAGCCAGAUGCAAGCCAUUUUGGGAGGGCCAUGGAAGAAUCAUUUGUGGUUUUGCCUCCACCAGCUGCUUCAGUGUAUAAGUGUGAGCCUACAUCUGAUGGAGCUGGUACGAAUCUUCCAUCACCAGAUGGUGGACCUCCAAAUGCUCCCAUGCAGACAAACAAUUCUGGGUUUCACUCCACCAUCACUGUCCUAAAGCGUGCAUUUGAUAUUGCCACAACACAGACCCAGAUCGAGCAACCCCUGUGUCUUGAAUGCAUGAGGGUGCUGUCUGAUAAACUUGAUAAGGAGGUUGAAGAUGUUAACAGGGACAUACAAGCCUAUGAAGCUUGCCUUCAGCAAUUGGAGGGAGAAGCAAGAAAUGUUCUUAGCGAGGCUGAUUUUCUGAAGGAGAAAUUGAAGAUAGAAGAAGAAGAGCAAAAACUUGAAACAGCAAUAGAAGAAACAGAGAAGCAAUGUGCUGUAGUCACUGCCGAACUGAAGGAACUCGAGAUGAAGUCUAGCCGUUUCAAGGAGUUGGAGGAGCGGUACUGGCACGAAUUCAAUAACUUUCAGUUUCAAUUGAUAUCUCAUCAGGAAGAGAGAGAUGCAAUUUUAGCUAAGACAGAAGUUUCACAAGCUCAUUUAGAGCUGCUAAAGCGGACCAAUGUGCUCAAUGAUGCAUUUCCAAUCUGGUAUGACGGUGAAUUUGGAACGAUUAACAACUUUCGUCUUGGAAGACUUCCUAAAAUUCCGGUUGAGUGGGACGAGAUAAAUGCAGCCUGGGGUCAAGCAUGCCUUCUUCUCCAUACAAUGGCUCAACAUUUCCGUCCAAAGUUUCAAUAUCGGAUAAAAAUUCUUCCUAUGGGAAGUUAUCCUCGGAUCAUUGACACCAAUAAUACUACUUAUGAACUAUUUGGCCCAGUAAAUCUCUUCUGGAGCACACGGUAUGACAAAGCAAUGACAUUGUUCUUGACCUGCCUAAAGGAGUUCUCCGAGUUUGCAAAUUCAAAAGAUAGGGAAAACAAUAUUCGUCCUGAGAAAUGUUUUAAGCUUCCUUACAAGAUUGAAAAUGACAAAGUUGAAAGUUACUCCAUAACCCAGAGCUUUAAUAAACAAGAAAAUUGGACCAAAGCUCUCAAGUACACACUCUGCAAUUUGAAGUGGGUGCUCUACUGGUUUGUUGGUAACACAAAUUUCCAGCCACUCUCCACAACGGUCUCCUCACAAGCUGAAGUUCCAGCUGCAGCCGGAUCACUGUACAGCAAACAACCAACUAAUACCAAGUUUCAAUCUUGAAGUUCUUGAAUCACAAAUACCAACUUCUCCUCUCGCACUAAUCAUGCUGAAUAGGCCUCCUAGCCUCUAUGCUGCAAGUUGGUCCUAAGCCAGAACUGCAAUAGAGUGUGGCAAUUCAGAAUCAAAGAGUACUCACAUCUAUCCCUUUAGAUCAGUUAGAGACCUCAAACAAAAGGGCAUUUUCUUCAGAUUAAGCAACACAAAUGCUCUUCAGGCAAUCAAAUUCAAAUCCUAUGUUUUAUUCGGAAAACUUCAUCUACCAAAGGAACAUAUCAGCAUGUAUACCAAGGUAACUUACGCGAACAUGAUUGCUUAUGAGACGAAUCCAAACAAAGAAACUCGAUAUGAGGCUACGUCUUAUGUGAACUUCAUGAAGUCACUUGUAGUAUGUACAGAGGAUGUCAAAGAACUACGAGAGGUAGGAGUAAUAUGUAACCACAUGGAAACAGAUGAAGAAGCAGCUAAAGUGUUCCAAGACGUUAUGACUUAUGAUGUGGUCUCUCAUGGUGGUACUCUUGUUGAUGUUAUAAAGGAAAUGCAAUGUCAUGUUAGCAGCAGAUGGAAAACGUCGAUUGCAGAGUGCUACUGGACUUAUUUUAGUACUCCAUGGUCAGAUAUCGCGCUGCUUGUAGCAAUUACACUACUUUGCUCAACUGUUAUGCAAACACAUUAUACUAUGUAUACACCCAGUGUGAGUCAGUUUUUACCGUUUAUGUUUAUCCUCUUUUCCUGGUCAUACCUAAAUAAAAUGUAAUUUGUUUCAUUUUAGGCUUCCUUAAUGUGACAACUUGUUUAACAAGUUUUGAAAUCCAUGUAUGGCCUUAAAAUUU